rnacentral:rRNA from 1 species
UACGUAGGGUGCGAGCGUUGUCCGGAAUUAUUGGGCGUAAAGAGCUCGUAGGCGGUGUGUCGCGUCGGCCGUGAAAACCUGCAGCUUAACUGUGGGCUUGCGGUCGAUACGGGCAUCACUGGAGUUCGGCAGGGGAGACUGGAAUUCCGUGGUGUAGCGGUGAAAUGCGCAGAUAGUCAGGGAGGAACACCCGGUGGCGAAAGGCGGGUCUCUGGGCCGGAUACUGACGCUGGAGGAGCGAAAGCCGUGGGGAGCGAACAGG